AGGAGCUUGCUCCUGAUGGCGAGUGGCGAACGGGUGAGUAAUAUAUCGGAACGUGCCCUAGAGUGGGGGAUAACUAGUCGAAAGAUUAGCUAAUACCGCAUACGAUCUACGGAUGAAAGUGGGGGAUCGCAAGACCUCAUGCUCCUGGAGCGGCCGAUAUCUGAUUAGCUAGUUGGUGGGGUAAAAGCCUACCAAGGCGACGAUCAGUAGCUGGUCUGAGAGGACGACCAGCCACACUGGGACUGAGACACGGCCCAGACUCCUACGGGAGGCAGCAGUGGGGAAUUUUGGACAAUGGGGGCAACCCUGAUCCAGCAAUGCCGCGUGAGUGAAGAAGGCCUUCGGGUUGUAAAGCUCUUUUGUCAGGGAAGAAACGGUGAGAGCUAAUAUCUCUUGCUAAUGACGGUACCUGAAGAAUAAGCACCGGCUAACUACGUGCCAGCAGCCGCGGUAAUACGUAGGGUGCAAGCGUUAAUCGGAAUUACUGGGCGUAAAGCGUGCGCAGGCGGUUGUGUAAGUCAGAUGUGAAAUCCCCGGGCUCAACCUGGGAAUUGCAUUUGAGACUGCACGGCUAGAGUGUGUCAGAGGGGGGUAGAAUUCCACGUGUAGCAGUGAAAUGCGUAGAUAUGUGGAGGAAUACCGAUGGCGA
rnacentral:rRNA from 1 species